rnacentral:rRNA from 1 species
UACAGAGACUGCAAGCGUUAUUCGGAUUCACUGGGCGUAAAGGGUGCGCAGGCGGCCGUGUGUGUUGGGCGUGAAAGCCCGGGGCUUAACCCCGGAAUUGCACCCAAAACUACACGGCUAGAGCAUUGGAGAGGGUAGCAGAAUUCAUGGUGUAGCAGUGAAAUGCGUAGAUAUCAUGAGGAAGACCAGAGGCGAAGGCGGCUACCUGGACAAUUGCUGACGCUCAGGCACGAAAGCGUGGGGAGCAAAAGGG